rnacentral:rRNA from 2 species
GCUCUUAUGAAGUUAGCGGCGGACGGGUGAGUAACACGUGGGUAACCUGCCCAUAAGACUGGGAUAACUCCGGGAAACCGGGGCUAAUACCGGAUAACAUUUUGAACUGCAUGGUUCGAAAUUGAAAGGCGGCUUCGGCUGUCACUUAUGGAUGGACCCGCGUCGCAUUAGCUAGUUGGUGAGGUAACGGCUCACCAAGGCAACGAUGCGUAGCCGACCUGAGAGGGUGAUCGGCCACACUGGGACUGAGACACGGCCCAGACUAAUACGGGAGGCAGCAGUAGGGAAUCUUCCGCAAUGGACGAAAGUCUGACGGAGCAACGCCGCGUGAGUGAUGAAGGCUUUCGGGUCGUAAAACUCUGUUGUUAGGGAAGAACAAGUGCUAGUUGAAUAAGCUGGCACCUUGACGGUACCUAACCAGAAAGCCACGGCUAACUACGUGCCAGCAGCCGCGGUAAUACGUAGGUGGCAAGCGUUAUCCGGAAUUAUUGGGCGUAAAGCGCGCGCAGGUGGUUUCUUAAGUCUGAUGUGAAAGCCCACGGCUCAACCGUGGAGGGUCAUUGGAAACUGGGAGACUUGAGUGCAGAAGAGGAAAGUGGAAUUCCAUGUGUAGCGGUGAAAUGCGUAGAGAUAUGGAGGAACACCAGUGGCGAAGGCGACUUUCUGGUCUGUAACUGACACUGAGGCGCGAAAGCGUGGG